CCUACGGGUGGCAGCAGUGAGGAAUCUUGGUCAAUGGACGAGAGUCUGAACCAGCCAAGUAGCGUGAAGGAUGACUGCCCUUUGGGUUGUAAACUUCUUUUAUAUGGGAAUAAAAUGUUCCACGUGUGGGAUUUUGUAUGUACCAUAUGAAUAAGGUUCGGCUAACUCCGUGCCAGCAGCCGCGUUAAUACGGAGGAUCCGAGCGUUAUCCGGAGUCAUUGGGUUUAAAGGGAGCGUAGGUGGAUUGUUAAGUCAGUUGUGAAAGUUGGCGGCUCAACCGUAAAAUUGCAGUUGAAACUGGCAGUCUUGAGUACAGUAGAGGUGGGCGGAAUUCGUGGUGUAGCAGUGAAAUGCGUAGAUAUCGCGAAGAACUCCGAUUGCGAAGGCAGGUCACUGGACUGCAACUGACACUGAGGCUCGAAGGUGUGGGUAGCAAACGGGAUUAGAUACCCUGGUAGUC
rnacentral:rRNA from 1 species